UUCCAAAGUGUUGAGUUCAGUUCUGGGCCUCUUCCCCAGUCCUGGUAAUUUAUCUUUGGCACAGCAUCAUGCUAUGGGUUAUUUGUUUGGGUUGGUCCUUCCAUGUCCACCUCACUCUAACCAUAGCUAA